GCUUUAGUUUAAUGCCAAUGUUAAGCAAAGAAGCAUUUUGUUUCAUGUACUGUUAUUGUGUCCUCUAAAGAUGAACUCAGGAGCCUUGCUUGUAAUGGUGUGUCUGUUCUCGCUGAUGAUUGCUGACUGUUCUGUGCAGGGCAUAAGUGCUUGUAAGUCACGUAUUGGGUGCUCAGGAUGCAGAUCGGGAUGCAAAGCCAGGGGAUACCGCUCCGGAACCUGCAGAUACUCAUUUGCUUGUCCACAAAGUAGGAGAUACAUUUGCAGAUGUGUGGGGUUUCCUGGUUGAUGUAAAAAAUACGACAUUUUUAAUUCAAACAAUAAAUCAAAAGUAAUACAAUUA